UCCUUUCUCCCAGACUCAUCUCUGGCCUUCCUCCCAUUUUAGCGGCAAUCGGAGGAGGUGGUUCCCCGUAACUCCGCGAAGAGGUUGCAACUGGAUCACUUCUUGCUCCUUGGAGUGUCUAAGAGGAAGACUUGUAUCUCUCCAGAUCAUUUACUUCAACAAGAACUUCAGAUCCUUGACAGAUGACAUCAUGAUCCACCUUUGCCUCUGAUACUCAUAGCCUCACUUUGCUAAAGAAAUGAAUCAUGGCAGGAGAGAAGCAACAUAAGGCAUGGAAAACCAUAGAGCCUAACUAAUGCAUUGCUUAAAAUAUCAAGUAGAUUUCACCCCAGUUGAUCUUCCUAUAGUGAGACAGUGGAUAAAGGCUCUCUGCUUAACAACAAGGUAUGUAAAUGAGAAAUCUUUUCAGUUUCCAAUUGAUGGUGAAAAAAUUUGUUGAACUGAGUGUUUAUACAUAAGUGUACUUUAAUAAAUUCCAAGUGGUCAACAGCAAAUGCCAGUUGAAAACCAUUCUGUGAAUCUUUGGAAAUUUGCUUAUUUAAGGUUAAAAUUAUUCACUUCUCAAUCUCAUUUUUUUUUAUUUUUUAAAAAUGUUCAAUAUUCUAAACAUAUGCAAAGAUAAAGAAUUUAAAGUGAUCCUUUAUAUGCACUUCACCCAAAUUUGACAACUGUCAGCUCAGAGACAAUCCUGUUUUAUUUAUAGCCUUACCCACUCCUCUUCCUCCUUCUUGGGGAUUAUUUUGUAAUACAUGCCAAACAUCCUAUCAUUUAACAUAUAAAUGUUUUAGUAUGAAUCUCUAAAGGAUAAGAAUGCUCUUUAAAAAUAUAACUACAAGUGGAACAAGAUGGCAACAGAGUAGGAGGACACUAGGCUCAUCUGGUGUCAUGAACACAACUAGAUGACUAUCAAAUUAUCCUAAAUACCCCGGAAAUUGACCUUAAUACAGAACAAAUUCCACAACUAAAGGGAGAGAAGAGGCCACAUCGAAGAUGGCAGGAAGGCAGGAUGUGGUUUAGGGAGAAAUGGAUCAUAGGUGCUGCAAAGGGAAGGGAGCCAUGGUCACAGAAAAGGGUGAGAGAGAGAGAGGAGCACUCAGGAGAACACACAAGGAGGAUGCUUCCCCAAAGCCAUUGGCUUGGAAAACAAGAGGGGCUGAAUUUUGUGAGUUCAUGAAACCAUCAGGGCUUAAAGCCUGGAGUGUUAAAAGUCAGUGAGCUUGGCUGGGAUAGACCCCUGAGGGCACUGUCCUGCUCCAGGAGAGAAGGCAGGCAAACAACAGGGGGAGGGGCUGGGACAGACAGUGUGAAAACAGCAAUCUGAAGAAUGCCUGGGGCACACAGUACAGAUAUUAUUCACUAGUCUAGGAGCUUCCCUGUGAGGCAGUUUUCACAGUGAUUCCUCUCCAGGAACAAAAGACCGUCUGGUGCCAUUUCACUCUCCUACCCCUCAGCAUAAACACAGAGCCACCCACAGGAAGCAGCGCAGCUCCAACACAGGCUACCUAACUUGCUUACACCAAGUCCCACCCCACUGCAGUCUGGAGGGAUGGCUCUUCUCAGUCAACCUUGCCUCAGUACCAGCAUGGCAGACCCUUUCCCAAGAACACUAGUGAUGUGGAAACCUAACACAGGCUAAGGGCAAAGCACAAGCUAGCACAUGACCACCACCACCACCCCCACCCCAGGUGGGAUAUGUGUGAUAUUCCUCAGGCACUCCUGGCUGCCCAAGAACAAAGGAAAGGAAAGAAAACAAAUGGUUAACUGAUAGAGAUCACAGUCAUACAAUACAUGGGUCUCCAUCAGUUUACAAAUAUCUUAGUAAAUUACAACAAAAAGGCAAUCUUAUCAAUAGCCUAAUCUCCAGAAACCUGUAGACUCAGUUUCUUGGAGCCCCAACAUCGCCCCUCCAUAGUGAUAUGGGGAACAAAGGCAAGAAGGAAAAUAGCAGGUAAAAUUAAAUUUCCUUAUAACCUGCAGCCCAUUGACAAAUACUUGGGACUGGCAGAGUAGAACAUUUCUCCAGGAACUCCCUAUUCUCUUAAUGUUAAUGCUCUGCUAGAAGGAAAAACAACCUUACUUUGACAAUAGCUAGACCUCUAAUAUCCUGUGAAUCUUCUUGAGCAUAUGAAAAUCUCUUUGAAAACUUUCCCUUGACUUUACCUUCUCCAACUCCAUAGUAUAUAACCAGUCACUCUUCACAACCCCAGUGCAGCUCUUUCUGCCUAUGGGUCCUUUCCCAUGCUUUAACAAAAUCACCUUUUUGCACCAAAGAUGUCUUCAAGAAUUCUUUCUUGGCUGUCCCCACCAUCACCCCAAACCUCAUCACCAGCACAGACCCCUAUCCACACCAUGUCUCCUGACCAGAGAGUUCUACAGGGCCUCAGUUCUGGUGGAGUUGGUGUUGGAUCUCAUUUUACAAGCAGACCAGAGCACACCUAGUUAAAGUUGCCACAUUUAGGCCAAGGACCAAACAAUGCCCACUGCAGGCAAGAAGAGCCUCUGCAAAUGAAUGGUCUAAAGGAUAUAGAGCAGCAAAAACGCAACAGCAGAGCACAUACAGUACACACUGGAGACACUCCAUGAAGCACAGACCGUGGGUGCUACGUGACCUCUUCUUCAUAAAGCCAUUACUUUUAGGAGCAGGAGGCAAAAAAGGCUUUUCUAGAAAACACACAGAAGAAGGCAGAGACUUAGCAAAAUGCCAAGAUGGGGGAAUGUAUCCCACAUGAGAGAACAAGAUAAGGUCACAGUCAGAUAUAUAAGUGAAACAGAUAUAAGUAACAUGCGUGAUGAAGACUUUAAAGCAAAAAUCAUACGGAUAUUCAUUGGGCUUGAGAAAAGAAUGAAAGACAAGCAUCCAACUCUUGAUUUUGGCUCAGGUCAUGAUCUCACAGUUUCAUGAGUUCUAGCCCCACAUCAGGCUCUGUGUGCUAAACUAGCUGAGCCUGCUUGGGAUUAUCCGUCUCCCUCUCUCUCUGCCCCUCCCCCACUCAUGCUUUCUCUGUCUCUCUCAAAGAAAUUUUAAAAAAGAAUCAAUCAAAGAUAAAGAAUGCAAUAAACAAGAUUGGAAACAGCUUGAUGGAAUGAACAGCAGGCUGGAAAAAAUAGAGGAAUGAAUUAAUGACCUAGAAGACAAAGUAAUGGAAAAUAAUGAAGCUGAACAAAAGAGAGAAAGAAAAAUUAUGCAACAUAAGAAUAGACUUGACGAACUCAGUGACUCCAUUAGAAUAUAAUAACAUUUGUAUUAUAGGAGACCCAGAAGAAGAAGAGAGAAAAUGGGGCAGAAAAUUUAUCUCAAGAAAUAACAGCAGAAAACAUCUCAAAUCUGGGGGAAGAAAUAGCUAUCCAGAUCCUUGAGGCACAGAGAACUCCCAUUAAGAUCAACAAAAGCAGGCCAACAUGAAUUAAAUUUAUAAAAUGCAGUGAUAAAGGAAAACCUUAAAAGCAGGAAGACAAAAGAAGGGCUUAACUUAUAAGGGAAAACCCAUAAGACUAGCUGGAGAUUUCUCGACAGAAACUUGGCAAGCCAGAAGGUAGUGGCAUGAUAUAUUCAAUGUGCUGAAUGGGGAAAAUCUGCAGGCAACAAUACUCUAUCCAGCAAGGCCAUCGUUCAGAAAAGAAGAAGAGAUAAAGAGUUUACCAGACAAACAAAAAUUAAAGGAUUUCGUGAGCCAGCCAUGUAAGAAAUAUGAAAGGGGACUCUGAGUGCAAAGGAGAGACCAAAAGUAAUAAAGACAAGAAAGAAUCCGUGAAAAUCUCCAGAAACAAUAACAAAUCAAGUAAUAAAAUGGCACACAAAAAAGUAUCUAUCAAUAAUUACGUUGAAUGUAAAUGGACUAAACACUCCCAUCAAAAGACAUAGGGUGUCAGAAUGGGUUAAAAAAAAUAAAAUUAAAAUUAAAUAAAUAAAAUAAAAUAAAAUAAACCCAUCCAUAUGCUGCCUAUAAGAGACUCACUUUAGACCUAAAGACACCUGCAGAUUGAAAGUGAGGGGGUAGAGAAACAUUUAUCAUGCAAAUGGAUGUAAAAAGAAAGAUAUAAAAAUUGGACAAACCAGGUUUUUUGUUCUUGUUUUUAUCCUUCUUUGGUAUCAGGGUAGUACUGGCCUCAUGGAAUUAUUUUGAAUGUGUUCUCUGUUCCAUUAUAUGUAAGAUUUUGAUAAAGAUUACCAUUAAUUAAAUGUUUAUUAGAAUUCACCAAUGAACCCAUGUAGUCUUGGGCUGUUCUUUGCUGGGAGAUUUUUGAUUCCUAAUACAACAUUCGUUCUUGUUAUUGAUCUAAGAUAAUUUCCCACCUCUUGGAUUCAAGAUUCAUGAUUCAAUCUUGAUAAAUUAUGUAUUUUUAGGAAUUAUCUGGG